ensembl:lncRNA
CAAUGCCGCUACGUCACCUGCGUAACUCGGCACAAGAAUAGCAUAGGCGGCAGCGGGCGGCGCGUCGUGAGGGGAGAUGGCGGGACAGAGGCUCCCUCACGGCACCGCUGGGCCGAGCCCUCAGGCAGCCGGGAUGAGGAGCCCACGAUCCUUCAUGCAGUUCUUUAUCCUCGAAUACCUUCCUGCCAUAGCAGCCCUUCACAGAGUGCUCAUCUUUUCCUCUCAGACCGUGUUCAGCUCACCAGAGUUGCUUGAUUAAGAUGCAGUUUCCACAUCAAUGCAGUGGAUGCUGCUGAGGAGGAACCACCUCAGUUUGAUCUUUGUAAACUGCUGGUGCUCAGCCUCCAUGGACAAUUCUGGCAGGGCACUUGAAUAAGGCUGCAAAGGUAAUUGUAUGAUUCAUUUUACAAUCUGCCAACAA